AUAUCUCAUUGAACCGUGUUAAAUCCUGGCUGAGUCUAGGGCCCUUCUUUUCUUUCCACAUUAGGUAAAGCUUGAAGUAGUUUUUUGGGAAGGAAAAGGGGGCUAUGAGAUGGAGGAAUUCAUUUCCUUCUGGUAACCCAGGGGCCUGCCCUAUUCCCACACAUCACUGGAAUACAUGACAGCAUGGAAGUUAGCUGCAGCUGCAUCUCCCUCUCUUGAACCAGGUGUGUAUGCCCAUAGUUAAUGGUGUGUGAACCUCCCCUCUUGCUUAGGAAGCACAGCAGAGGAGUUGCUCUUGUGCCAUGGGGAAGGUUUGCAGCUUGAACAGUGACUCGGAAGCUCUGACUGAAGGCCAAGAAGUUGGGAUAGCUGACAAGGAAGUGAAUCAGGUGGAAUGAGGUCCUCUGGAGGUCUGGAUUUCAGCUGCAAAACACGACUCCUGUCAAUGCUAGAUCACAUCUGUGUCAGCUGCCUCUACCCAUGUCUUGAAAACCGCCAUGGGUGGAAUUUCAAUCAACAGUUUGGGUUACAUGCUCUAGGGCUACAUUUGAUCUCGGUGAAACACUUAAUGACCAGUUUGAACCUCCCAAGAUUUAUGUAGAAAUGGGGUGAUGUGAAAAUCACACUGGAUGUCUGUUUGUUUGUUUGUUUGUUUUGUUUGUUUGUACUUUAUUCAAUCCUGUGGUUUAAGACUGCUAUUCCAAACACUGUAGAAAUUCACUGUUUUCUGUAGCAUAAAGCUAUUUCAAAUUAAUUUCCAACCAUGCCGUCGUAGUCAUCGCCUCUUUCAUGAGAUGCUCUAAAUCUCAUGGUCUCACUGCUUUACACUGCAAAUAUGGUCACUGAAAAAAUGCAUGCAAGAGAAGUGGAAGGUAGGAAAAUUUGUAGCAACUGGGUUUUCAAAACCAGUCUCCUCAACACCUCUCUUGGGCACAAAGCCUGUGUCCUACAAAGAACUACUGACCUACAAAGAACUUUGUGGGUCUUUAUGUAAACACAAAGAAAAACCCAGAACUGUCCAUUCAUUAGCUUGCAUAUUUUCAGUGAAACUACCUGUUACUUAUUUCAAACAUUACCUUGUGUCAAUGAGUAGUCAGAAGUUGAGCUGUAACAUUCACAGGAUCUGCCUACUUAAAGGCCUCACAUAGGUGUUGGUAAAUAUUUAAUUAUACUUUAUCUAGCUAGUGCACUCUGUCUUGUAUUCCAUUCAUCUGCAAUAGUAGCCUCCUGGCUUUUGUAAUUUUUACUUUCAGGGUAAAAUUAAAAUGAGAAAAAAGCCAACAAGAUCUAACAGAGAGCUGCAUGUACAACGCUGAGAUUUAUCACAGUGGACUAUGUUGACAAUUAAUGCUGACAAUAUUAUCUUUCUUUCACAAGGUAGACUGAUUUCAUCAGACUUUUCCUUUCCUCAGUAAAGUACCUGAAUUCAAGUGAUAUUAGUAUCUCUGAACUAGACUCUGCUGAUAAUAUCUCAAAACAAAAACCAUACCAUGUGCAGGAAGUUUCUGUAAAACUUUUGUCUCAAGCAGCCAUGCUAUUCACAGAAUUUUUUUCAUGAUUCUUCCUGAAUGAAAUUGCAAAUAAACAGCUUCACUCAAGGGCCACAUUACAAAGUAUUCACUUUUUAAGUGAGUCUAGAAAUAGUAUAUAGAUUCCAGCUUCAUUCUGGUCCUGGGUUGGGUGGGUGCAGGAACCCUGCCUCAGGCAAGGUGUUGGGGGAGGCACUUGGGGACCUUGUGAGCCCAAUGCUGGGACCCUGGCCUGAUGGGGAAAGACCCAGAGGGAGAGGGCAGUGCAGAGAAGCAGUGGCACAGGGAGUUGGAGUGGCCAGCACAGAGGAGCUUAGUUGAGGCAUGGCUGCUUCAGCCAGGCUGUCCUUGUUUUAGCUGGGAAACAUGUAAUUUUCCUCCAAGUAGAUGGUAUGAUGCUGCGUUUCAGAUUUAGGAUGAGAAUAAUGUUGAUAACAUAUGGAUGUUUUAGUUGUUGUUGAGCAGUACUUAUGCAGGGUCAAGGCAUUUUCAGUUUUGCAUGCUGCCCUGCCAUUGAGGAAUCUGGGGGUACACAAGAAUCUGGGAGCAGACAGUCAGAACAGCUGAUCAAAGGGAUAUCCCAUACCAUAUGGCAUCAUGCUGAACAACAAAUGUGGGGGAAGUUGGCUGAGGGGAAUGCCACUGCUCGGGGUCUGA